AGCGGGGGAAGCAAUCCCUAGCGGCGAACGGUCGCGUAACACGUAGGCAACCUGCCCGAAAGACCGGGACAACACUUCGAAAGAGGUGCUAAUACCGGAUGUGCCCACUUCUUCGAUGAGGAGGUGAGUAAAUCCCGCAAGGGGCUUUUGGAGGGGCCUGCGGCCUAUCAGCUAGAUGGUGAGGUAACGGCCCAC
rnacentral:rRNA from 1 species